UAUCUGGUUGAUCCUGCCAGUAUUAUAUGCUGAGUUAGAGAUUAAGCCAUGCAUGUGUANAGUAUAAAGACCAAGUAGGAUGAAACUGCGGACGGCUCAUUAUAACAGUAAUAGUUUCUUGGUUAGUAAAGUACAAGGAUAGCUUUGUGAAUGAUAAAGAUAAUACUUGGACGAUCCAAUUUGUAUUAGUACAAAGUGGCCAAUUUAUGUAAGUAAAUUGAGAAAUGACAUUCUAAGGAGUUAGGAUGCCACGACAAUUGUAGAACACACAGUGUUUAACAAGUAACCAAUGAGAAUUCUGAUCUAUCAAUCAGUUGGUAGUAUCGAGGACUACCAAGAUUAUAACGGAUAACGAGGAAUUGGGGUUCGACAUCGGAGAGGGAGCUUUACAGAUGGCUACCACUUCUAAGGAAGGCAGCAGGCGCGUAAAUUACCCACUUUCGAA
rnacentral:rRNA from 1 species